AGAGGCCCCAGUUGAUUCUACAACGGCGUAAAGAGUGGUUAAGGAGCACAUAAUAAUAAAGCCGAACGGCCCUUUGGCUGUCAUACGCUUCUAGGCGCCCGAAGCCCAAUAUACGAAAGUAGCUUUAGUAAAGCCCACCUGACCCCACGAAAGCUGAGGAACAAACUGGGAUUAGAUACCCCACUAUGCUCAGCCGUAAACCUAGAUGUCCACCUACGAUGGCAUCCGCCCGGGUACUACGAGCAUUA
rnacentral:rRNA from 1 species